rnacentral:rRNA from 1 species
GACGAACGCUGGCGGCGUGCUUAACACAUGCAAGUCGAACGAGAAUCUACUGAAGGAGGAUUCGUCCAACGGAAGUAGAGGAAAGUGGCGGACGGGUGAGUAACGCGUGAGGAACCUGCCUUGAAGAGGGGGACAACAGUUGGAAACGACUGCUAAUACCGCAUAACGUACAGUUACCGCAUGGUAGCAGUACCAAAGGAGCAAUCCGCUGAAAGAUGGACUCGCGUCCGAUUAGCUAGUUGGUGGGGUAAAGGCCUACCAAGGCGACGAUCGGUAGCCGGACUGAGAGGUUGAACGGCCACAUUGGGACUGAGACACGGCCCAGACUCCUACGGGAGGCAGCAGUGGGGGAUAUUGCACAAUGGGGGAAACCCUGAUGCAGCAACGCCGCGUGUGGGAAGAAGGUUUUCGGAUUGUAAACCACUGUUCUUGGUGAAGAUAAUGACGGUAACCAAGGAGAAAGCUCCGGCUAACUACGUG